rnacentral:tRNA from 1 species
GGGCGAGUGAUGAAAUCGGCAGACAUCUAUGGUUGAGGGCCAUAGGGGAAUUUUCCCGUGAGGGUUCAAGUCCCUCCUCGCCCACCC